rnacentral:lncRNA from 1 species
AAGUGUCAACAUUUAAGUUGGUGAGUUCAUAAGUAGUGUUUUGAGAAGAUGUAUGCCAUUCGAAAGUGUUUGCAUGUUUUCCAGAAAAACCCUUAUUUUCUUAUAAAAGUAUGCAAUGCAUAUGAAUGUUCGUGAUGUAAAUUGCAACUAAUUGUACCGAGAAAAUCCCUUAUUUUCCUAUUAGUUGUUUGGUUUGUAUACAGGAAAAACCCUUAUUUCCCUGACAUAACUGGUAGUCUCUAAGACCGAAAAUCGCAAGCAAGCGACGUGCUUGUAAGUUGUGUCAUAGUUUUACAUAGUAAAGCUAUACGAAGAUCGCACUUUUUAGAUGAAGAAUAGUUUUAAUGACUACUCGUUCAUAAAAGCAUAAUACCAUAAUAAUUGUAUAUCCGAUGAGUUUUAUAACCAUACUAAACAUAAUAUGCCUGUAGCGACGUUCUUCAGGCGUCGUAGCGUUAUGACAACUGUCACCCCAUAAGACGGACUGUAGCUAACAGUCAGGGCGCGGGAUCAUGACUUCCCGUAUAGAUCUAUACACAUUUGACACGUUCUCCGAACGGGAGACUCUGGUUAUAGACAGGACUUGCAGCAUUAUUUUCUAAUAAAGAAAGUAACGUUUGAAGAUAUACACGACUCAUGGAUUCUCAACUAAGUCCGUAGUAAGGUAGUAGUUUGUAUGCAAAGUUUAACCUCUUUCACACUGUUUGACAAAGCAUAAUCAUAAAUUCUUUGAAUGCAAGAAAUGACUUAGUAAAGAAUGUUACCCUUGAUAUGAUGUGUUUGUAUGUAACCGUAUAAAUAAAACAUAUUUCUAUUUAUAAACAUAUUAUAUCCCAAAGAGGGUAAAGCUGUGUUGUGAGGGGUUUUGUAUCAUAAUAACUUCACAAGAUAGUUAAAACAACAGUAUGAAAAGUAUAUCAAAAGGUUAAUGUUUCACACGAAUUUAGUCAUGUGUUAACUUGUAUUCCUCCCCAAAAAGAGUAUAAAACAUUUAAAAUGUAUUUAAAGAGUGUUCAAAGGGGAUAUGAACUCACUUGAUAGUUUGAAGAUUGUGAGGUGGAAAACCGAGCAGAGUUUCGUCUCGGGAAACUGAUUUUUCUUGGGAUUCUCGGGAAUCUCGGGAGUAGAAUCGGCCUUCGGGACUUGAGCCAAAAAGACCAGAGCUUCGGGUUUGAACGGACACGGAAAACGAGGAAAUGCUGAGAGAGAGAGAAGAGAAAUGAACCCUUUCUUUGGAAACCCUCGCAUUCUAUUUAUAGGAAGGCAGGUCUGCCUCGGUACGCGGGGCGUACGCUCGUACGCGCUGCGUACGCGUACGUCAUGCAUGACCGAAGCCUCGACUGCCUCGGUUCGGAUGGGACGGGUUCUUGGGUUCUCGGGUCGGAUGGGACGGGUUGCUGGGGAGGUGGGUCGGAUGGGACGCCGGGUCGGAUGGGACGUCGGGUCGGACGGGUCGGACGGGUCGGCUUCCUCGGAUAUGGCGACGUGGACGAUCCGAGGCCAAUCCUCUCGGUUACGCGGGGCGUACAGGAGUACGCAGCGCGUACUUCGGAGAAGGACGCUGACUCCUCUUCGGAUAAUAUCCGAAUUUUGAAUUAAAUAAUUAAUUAAUUUAUUUAAUAAACUUCAAAAAUCCAUAUCUUCUUCAUACGAACUCCGUUUUCGAUGGUCUUUAUAUCCACGCGUAGGUGAGACUACGAUCUACAACUUUCGUUUAGACUCCGUUGGCAAAUUCCAAAAUUAUUUUUAUUAUUUAUUUUAUAACUAAUCGUUUUUAAGGAAUUUCUUUGCAAAAUCAUAACUUCCUCAUGCGAAGUCAGAUUUGGACGUUCUUUUUGUGUACGCUCACGGUUUAAUGUUAUCUAUGACUUUCAUUUAGAUACCUAAGGCUAAAUGUUAUCGUAUUGAAACUUUGCGUUUUUCGUUUGAUCGGUGUUGUCGGUUUUGACAGAAAUCUUAGAAUGGUCAUAGCUUCUUCGCCAUAACUCAGAUUUUAGUGUUCUUUAUUUAUUUGGAACCUUUAAGACGAUAUCUACUACAUAGCGUACUCCAAAUCAGAGCUUUUGAACAAUUCAUUUAUCGAUGAUAUUCCCAUUACAUUCAAAAAGGGUUACAAGACUCGGUUUAUAAUGCCCGGGAUAACGGGUUGUUACACGUAUGAGGAGCUAUACGAUCAUACCUUUGUCUUUCCUCGAUCCCCUAUGUACCUGAAACAAUAAACUGAAACUGUAAGCCCGAGGCUUGCUGAGUUCCCCAAAAAUACCGAUACACUACACAUAACACAUAUACAAAUAACAACAUGUAUUGGCUCCACAGCUUUUAUAGACUGGAUUACCCCUGGGCGCACGGUGUGAGUAUGGAUUGCCUUCCGGGCCCACAACUCACAUUUGGAUUACCAUCGAGCCUACAGUACGAGUCUCCCGCAUCUCGUAUUUGGAAUGCUCUCGAGCCCACAGUACGAGUCUGACAUGCCCCACCUGGCCAUCAACUCAUAUCUGGAAUGCUCUUGGGUUUGUUGGUUACCGCACGGAGCAGUAUCACCUCAGCCCAUCCUACAUAAUAUGUCGGCAUACAACACAACCAAUGUGCAUACAGAUAAUCACAUAAUACUACAGGUAGUCCUACAGAUCUACCUAACUGGAAGAGCAACUAGCAUGCAACGCUAAAUCAUACUCAACAUACUAGCAAUUGCUAGGAUAUCAUAUCCAAUGGGCUGGCCUUGGUGCCUUAGACCCCUUGGUAUAGUGAGGAUAACUCACCUCGCAAGUAGUGUCGAAGUACUGAAAACCUCUGAUCGUUGUCUCACCGGAAAUCCCGAACUAUCACAUAAUAAAUACCAAGUCAUUACACAACAUAACAAUCUUGACUAAGGGUCCACACAAUCCAUCACGUCCAUUCUCUUUAUUGGGCCAAGGCCUAGUGCCAAGUCCAUAACCUUGAAAGUCCUUAUGCAAAGCCCAUUAUUGGCCCGAUUUACCAAAUUGGGCCCAACUCCCUAAUAGGCCUAAUUCCAAGAUCCAUUAUCAAAACUUGGCCCAAAACAUUAUAUUCAUAAAGUCCAGCAAAGGCCCAAAUCCAUGUAGUCCAUAAACAACCCAAAACCCAAAGCUCAAUUGUCAAAGGCCCAUCAGAGGACGUACGUUGGGCGUACUCCUCCUGAUGUUGACCACCAUUGGGGUGGUUGACCCAAUACGAUGGGCGUACUGGAUUUACGCUAGGCAUACGUAGUGGUUUGCCAAAAUCUGAAUAAGUGCUUAAUGGCUUAAGCACUUAAGCCCAAACUUCAGAUCCAAUGACCAAAUGUGCCUAGGACCCAUAAAGUCACAAACUUUAUCACUUUGGACGUACAUAAAGCUCUUAAUACUUGUUCUAAAUCCAUUAAGACCUUCCCACUGCAUGCAUGGGAUAUCUUAAGCCAUUGGGACCUCAUUUUUAUCACUCAAAACCCCUUCAAGAGUCUAGAAGGAUAGUUCAUUUCGUCCAAAUCACAUCAUGCACAAUCUUGGGAGUUUUUGGGACAAGAAAUGGUUCUUUAAAAGAAAAAUGUGAAAAUCUAUACAUAUAUGCAUAAAGUUUGAAGCUUUUUACCUUUAGGAGCUUCUAGGGCACAAACCAACUUUAGAUCUACAAGCUUGAUCUUCUUCUCCAACUCCUUGAUGUAACACCUUCUUCUUAAAACACUCAAGAAACACUCAAUAAGCUCAAACACCUUCUUAUCCAACUCCUUGAUGUAACAUCUUCUUCUCCAAAACUCAAACCAAUUAUCCUGAAAAGAAAGUUUGAGAACGAAAAAGGGAUUACUUCAACUCAAGGACCUUCCGAAGGGCAGCAGGCUGGGGCAGUCAAUACCCCUAUCAGCCCUCCUGUUCCGACACCGACGACACCAUACUUAGGAAACCUCCCCCACUGCGGAAAGUGUAACUAACAUCAUUAUGGGAUCUGCCGAGAACUAUGUUGUGUCAAAUGCAGCAUGAAGGGGCAUACCGCUCGCAUCUGCAAGACUUCGGUCGAGUUUAUUACUUCAACCACCAAUGUUGGAGUCAAUCCAAUAUGCCAUCUCUGUGGUGAAAUAGGACAUUUCAAGAGAGACUGUCCAACAAAAAGAGGUGACGAGGUUACAGGAGGAGUUUAACCUUAAAACAUAAAGAAGCAUCAAGGAGCCCGAUAGGAUUUUGGUAUGCUUCUCAACCUUAGUAAUUAAUUAAAAACUUCAAUAACCAAUUAUAAUUAUAAUUACUCCCUCGUUAAAACAAGAGCGCGACACUGUUAUAUAACUCAAAACCCCAUCAGGUAAAUCUAUGAUGGCUUAGUAUAUACAUUAGGGCCAUUUAUAAUUAAGAUUUGUAGACCUCGAGUGAGUGAUGCGGCCUCAUUUCCAGUUCCAUGUUUGGUUGUGGAUUUAGGGCGGAGUCACUCAGUCAACAGUCUUUCCAAUCUUAAUUAUACAUGACUAGUAUACACUAGGCGGUUAUAGAAAUGCCUUGUGGAAAUCACUCCAUGAAAAGUACAUUAUUUCGAAUCGUUAGGACCCUCAAACUGUUUACACCCGUUGUUUCCGGUUCAAAAGUUCAUGGUAGUGAUACCAUGGGAGAAACCAGAAGCACUAAAACCAAGUGUGCUUGAUUUAGCACAUAGUCCUGAUAAUCAUUUCUUGCGUAUCGAUUCGAUAUCUAUUAGUCAAAAGAUUUUCGACAUCGUCGUCAGUCAUGGUCCGACUUGGUCCUUACCAUGCAAAAAUUUCCGGUGCUAUGUAAAAAGAACUUUCAUCCUAGUAAAUCGUCAAAUAAAUUCUUUCAAAUCUAAAUGGAAAACCUAAUGUGAACCAUCAUGUCGUCCCUCACAUCCGAAAUUCAGAAGUACCAGAAGGGAUACCACGCCUUGUUAUCCUAUCCAACAGUCAAUAGACUUGAAGUGGAAAACACUGAAGAUAUUCCAAAAGACAGUAAGUACCCGAGGCAUACCCGAUAGAUCCUCUAGAAAGACCCCGCGUAUAGCAUGGUCAAGUUUAGGAAAAGAGAAUAAGAACUCAUGGGAUAACUUAUUACUGCCAAGUGUAUAUGUAAGAGUGGUAUAUAAUUUAGAUCGAUAAGAUUUAAGAUGCAUGAUCCCGCCUUAUUUCCUGUUCCUUGUUUGGUUGUGGACUUGGGGCGGAGUCACCCAUUUGAACAUCUUGCCAAUCUCAAUUAUAUACAACUUGUAUACACGAAGUAGUGAUGAAUGAGCCCAAUAUGAGUUUUAUCAUGGACCAUAAAGCAAAAACCUUCGUUAUAUAUCUGUUAGGAAGAAGUUGGAACAUGAGAAAAUGAAUGUGAGUUGAACUACUAAACGACUACGACUUCGAAAUUCGUUAUUCUCCCGGUAGAGCCAGUGUAGUAGCCGACACCCUUAGUCGGAAAGAGUAACUCAGAUAGUAGAGUCAAAUCGUUGACUGUGACCCCCCAUUUACAUCAGUUCACAUGAAUUAAGGGCUCACCAGGGAGCCUAGGAACCUAGAAAUGUGUCAGGUGAAAUCCGGAGAGGGAUGGAUGAGUACUUAGAGGUCAGGGGUGACGGAUUCUUAUACCACAUAGAUUUGACCUAGACACCGAAGUUCAGUGAUGUCCGAGAAGUAGUCAUGGAUGAAUCUCACAAUACUCAAACUCUCCGUUCAUACAGAUCCAAAUGAGAGGCUUCUAGACCUCAAGAAGUUAGUUUAGUAGCUCGUCAUGCGAGGAAAGGUAUUGUUGCCAUGUAGACAAGUGUCUUGGGCACACCAAAGUUAAAGUUAAAAUACCGAAAGCCAUAGGAUUACCACCACAUUCGGAGGUACUUCAGUAGAAGAGGCAGCAUAUUGCAUUGGGCUUCAUAGUCAAGCUUCCCAAGGCAACAGGUGGACACGAUAUCAUUUUGAGUGACCGUUGACGGAUUAAAUCCGCACGGUCCCUACAAAUUGAAGAAAACGGACACAAUCGAGAAGCUAAUGGAACACGUGUCUAAGAGAUUAGUUAGACUGUGCGGUGUUCAAAUGUCUAUUAUCACUAUUCGAGAUAACAUAAUCACCUCCCGAAUUUGGCAGUCACUUCAGAAAAUCUCUGAAGGCUAGGCUAGUCAUGAGCAUAGCCUAUCACCCAUGAAACGACAGACAAAAUAAUAAGACGAUUCAACCAUUAGGAAUUGUGCGGAAAAUGCAUUUUAUUGACCUUGGUAAAGCUUGGGAUACCCGAUUGCCAACUAGUCAAGUCCUUUACCAUACCGACAUUUAGAGUUGCUUCGUUCGAAAGCCCUCAUUAGUUGAAAGUGCAGAUCCUCUCUGCACUGGACUAAGGUAGGUGCCAUGCAACUUGUUAGAUGCCAAAUGUCAGACAAUAUAUUCGAUGAUCCAGAAAACCCUUCGUGAAAACUACCAAGUAAUAGAGCAAAUCCGAAAAUCACCUAGAACUUAUAGAACCAACCAGGAAAGCUACGCCUUCCAUAAUAGAAAAACCUUUGGAACUCCAGGAUGAUGAUCACGUAAAAUGGAGAUCUCGCCCUGGAAGGGCAUCAUGUGUUUUAGAUACAUGGAAUACUAAAUCCAAGGUGCUUAGGGCCAUAUAAUAUUCUUGAUAGAAAUGGCCUGGUAGCUUACAAGUCCUGACUAUUUAGGGAAUUCAAUACAUUCCACCCUAUCCUUCCACGUCUAUAAAGAUUUGAAGAAGCGGUUGUCUGUCGAGACUCUUAUUAUUUCACUCGUUUAGAUUGAGGUAAGCAAAAGCCUCGUCUUGGUAAAGAAAUUUGUAGAAAUCCAGUUCAGUGAAGGAAACCCUAGUCAGUGGAGUCCAGGGAACGUAAACGAAACCGUACCUCGUGGCCAAAAUCUUUUAACGCAUAUAGGGAGGACUUGAUUUCCCUAGAGAUCGGGUGAAUCAAAUGAAUCAUGAGUAUCCGUACCUUCCACCUCAUCCAUGUACAUUGUUUAAAUUCUAAUUUCGGGAUGAAAUUCCCUUUAACCGGGGGGGGGGGGGGAUGAUGUGACAACCCGAAAUUUCUAUCUUGUGCAACAUUCAAUUCAAUAAAUGUCAGACUCAUUUAUGCUAUCUUUUAGCAUUUUUUAGAGUCUGUGUGAGUGUUAUAAGCUUAGUUGAAUCAAGAUUACAAGUCAUAGGGUUGCAUUAGGGUCAAUCCCUCCUUCAAGAGGACUGUACGGUCGUACACAUGGGUGUACGGACGUACACCUCCUCAUGGCCAUGAACACAUGCCCUUAAAUAAGCCUAACUUAUCCUUCCUUCAUUUUUCACACUUCCAAACCAAGAAAACCUGCUUUUUCUCUCAACUAUCAUCAAGUUCUUCACUUUGAUCUUCAAAGAAGUAAGUGUUUCCUACCUAGAUUUGUUGCUACAUUGCUUUAACUAGUGAUGAAUCCAUGUUGUCAUUCCAUAAAUUUCGUCUUUGGCUAGAUCUUCAUCUUUCACCAAGAACAUGAUGGGAUUUGAGCAAUACAUCAAUCCUAUGGUGUGCAUGCAAACCCUAAUAGAUUUUGGAUCUAGUUUGUCUAAUGAACAAGCAAUCGAAUAUCCAAAGCUAUAAACCCUAGAUCUAUCAUAGAAGAACUAAAAUAAGGGUUUAGUAAUUACCUUUGAUUGUUAUAUUGCAAUAACAAUCAAUUCCUUGCUUUGAUUUGCUUCAGAAAGCUUAGUGCCUCAAGUGCUGCACCUCUAAUGGAGUCACAAACACCACUAAGCAACUAGAUGAAGAAGGAGAAGAGAGGAGGCACCCAAAAACGUCUAGAAACCCUAAGGAUUCAGUUACACAUGUUUUUGGUGCAUAGAGGGCCUUUAUAUACAUGUAGUCUAUUAGGGUUUACAACUAGGAAACCCUAAUCUGGCUGCUUAAGCCCUAAGCAACCCAUGGACUCCUUUAACAUAUCCCUUAGACGAAUUCAUUUUGGGUUUCCCAUAGAAUUCGUCCAACCUAUAUUAUUUAGGUAAUCCAUAGCCUAAUUGCAAUUAUCUUAUAAUUACAAAUCCAGUCCCCUAAGUUUAAUUAAUCUCUUUUAGCCACAAAAUUAAUUCUUAAUUAAUUAGUGACUAAUAUUAAUCAAACACUAUGAUUUCUCCUUUAAUAUAUUAUUCUCAUAAUAUAUUAAUAAAUCAUAAUUAAACAUUUCUCUCCUUAAUUCAUCCUACAUAUUGCUAUGGUGAAGGCAACCCACAAGGACCAUGCUCAUAAUCGGGUCAAGUACAUACCAAAAUAGUUAUGGACUUAGACACUAAUCCAACAGUCUCCCACUUGGAUAAGUCUAAUAACUAUUUUCCGUAUGACUUCAGAACCUGAUCAGCAAUCGUAGCUUUCAAAAGCCGCUGUCAACUCUGAUCUUAUCAGAUAGCGUGUCCUCUAGAUAAGGGAUUAUAUAUUCCUCCAUUCUCAAGAUAUCGUAUAGACAAAAGACAUGAAUUUCAAUCAUUCUCUCUAUACUGUUUCCCGACUUCCGAUUUAUGACGACUGAUAACAGACUACAAUUGAACACAUCAACUUAGUCCCGGCUUGGCCAAGCGCUUAGGUGUCAUCACUAAAUCAUCGAGAGGCCCACAUAUAUCGCUUUUAUCCCACUUUGGGUAAAAGGAAUGGAUAAACUUUGACUCAUAUGCUUGCUUGCAUUCACUGAUCGAAUCACACACAACAAUAAGUUUUAUAACACCAAGUUACUCGUGCGUUUACUUAUUAUCAAUGCGCAACCGACCAAAAAAUAACAACACACACGUCUCGGUUUCAAGAAUAUACAAGAUUAUCGUCUCACUAAUCACUCGUGAUAAAUCCAUGAAGUGAUCCAAGUGAUCAUGGGCUUAAUCCAAUACUCUAAUCUUAUCAAAGCACUCAUGAACCCUGCAACAAACUUGUGCUAUGUCUAAACUCUUCAGACAAUCUACAGACUCUUCAUGACAGCCUUCCUUCAUACCUACUUCCAAGGUAUGACCAACUGUGGAGGUUCGAAUAACCCAAUUAUUCUGGAAGUCAAAACAUGCAAACUGAAACGCAACAAUAACACUUAAUCUUAUAUGGCCCCAAACUUGUGGGAGUAAAUAAAACACUUUUGUUUAAAUACCAUAUUGAUUACUCAUUAUUCACUAUUUACUGUUUCGGAAAAUCAACUUAUUACUUAAAUUACAACAAUAGCUGUCCCAUGCACAAAGCAUGCACACUAUGUUUCCUAUGGUCCUUACUUUGUGAAAUAGAUCAAUUGAAAGCUUUUCCAAUGGUGCUCAUUUCACAAUUCCCAAUCCUUGUCAUUAGUGUUAGAACACAAGGUUCUUGCCACUACUAGAAUAUGCUAGAUUCUAACAUUUUAUGCAACAAUUCUUUCGCAAAGUCAUAGCACAAAAGUUACCAAGACUUGGCCAAUGAAAUUACAAAGUACUCUAUCGGAAAUUGUUACAAGACAAUUUCAUAGAUGUGAAGUCUCACAUUCAAAGUGCAUUCCUUUGAACAUCCUUCUUGCAUAAAAUUUUCUAAUCUAGACAUAGACUAUCAAUAUCCAACUCCCAAUAUGGAAACAUUUCCAUAUUUUCCAUAUGACAACUCAUUCUUAAUAGAAUCUUAUCUAUUCAUAAUAAUGUCGAUAUGGUCCAUCCAAUACCAUACUUCCAACUACUCACAAGCGACCAAUCCUCAGCGAACUUUGGAUCGUCCUUUGAUAGUUGUUUAAUUAUUUUAGUCAAAACCGAUUCUAGUCCUUUUUCCCUCUUAAUGCGCUAGACAUUUGGAAAAUUUUAGAAUGGUCAAAUAUUAUAGCAUUUGCAAUCGAUCCUAUACCCGAAGCAUAUGGGACACGAUGCAUAAUGUCUUACAUAAAGAUAUGAUACUUUAUCAAUCUUCUGCCAUAAUAUUUUAUGUGUCACGUUCUCACAAUUCGAACUAUGAAGAGGGAUGUCGUAAUCAUAAUCGAAAUUUAAGAACACACUAUGUAUCCUUUGACUAAAUUUAUUAAAAUUUCUCAAUCUAAGCUUUAGAUUUUGAAACAAAAUAUAAUAUUCUAUCCCUUAAUUAUAGCAAAAUAACUUUUCAACCCAUGUAACUUUUCAAAUUGAAUCUUUGUUUUUCUAUAAUUAAUAUUGCUAACUUGCAAUAUUUGUCAUAAUAAUCAUACACGCAUAACACUUAUGCUCCCACUAUCAUGAUGAUUAUUAUCAUAUAAGCAUAACACUUAUGCUUCCACUAACUUUGACAUGUAUUCAGAAAACAAUUGAACUUCCAGAAAACAAUGCCUAUUGAAUUUAUGAAAUUCAUAUUUCUAAUACCAGAUGCUUCGAUAAGCCUUUGUCUAAGCUUCUUAAACUUAUACACCUUUGCCUUAGAUAACUCAUAUGUGUGUCUAAACAAUUCAGAACUUAUAUCAAUAAGUCCCAAAUGUUAGACUAAUUGUCAAAUCUCACAAUUCGAACUAUGGAAAGGGAUGCCGUAACCAUAAUCGAAUUUGAGAAUACAAUUUUCACAAUCGCUAUCUUCUUAAAAUCUCUCUUAGUGAAAUUAUUUCCUCACAGUCAUUUUCAUGAAGGAAGGAAUCUUAUGACACUUAGAUUUUUAUUUUAUUUUAUGGUGUAUGUGUUCCUAUCCAUGUGAAUUUUUCAAAACCAAGUUUGCAACAAAUCCAAACUCAUAUGGACUGAACUUUCUUAAUCUCGAUUUCUUGCCUUGUGGUGACACGAGUGCCCACCAUGUCUUCCAAGUGGUUUAGCAACUUAUCCUUACAUAUCAAUGUACUUUGCAUCGAUCAAGGUACUUUGUCUUUAUGCAUUGAAAUGAGAACUUAUAGAACUCACAUACAUAAUUAACUCAAUUGGAAUGGCACAGAAAAAAAAUAAUGUCAACAAGGUAGGUUGUAAACCUCAAGUCGUGUGCUUGUGAUGAUUGAUAAGGUUUAUUCUUGAUUUGUUCUUUAAAACUUUUUCAAGAUCAUUAAAACUCCCACUAACCUCUUGACAUAUAUGAUUCUCUUGUCAGGAAACUAUAACACCCAUAAUCAGAAAGACCAGGAAAGGAAAGGAAAACCCUAAGUUAAAGGGCCAACUCGUCGAGUCCAAGGAGGAACUCGGCGAUUCCGAGUGGGAUCUGGGUCGAGGAGUAAGUGACCGACUCGGCGAGUCGGAGUAUGGACUCGGCGAGUCCGGUCUGAAGAGGGAAUCCCUAAAUCCGGGACUUUGUGCACUAUUUAAGCACCUCAUUCUCUUCCUUAGGGUUCCUUUAAACCUCCUCUCAUCCAGAACAAUGAACCCUAGCCGCCAUACCUGUUUUUGAGUAAAGAUCUAGCCUUGGAGUUGUGAUCUGAAGCUUAGAAGAGAAGGAAGUUCAUAGUGGUGCAUGAGGAAGCCUUGGAUCCAGAGUUGGUGUGGCUUUUCAGAGCAUUUGAAGGUAAGAAGUCAUUACCUCCACUCCUUUGCUCAUAGUUUCCUUGUUGUCAUGAGAUUUGGGCUUUUAUGCCAUGUCCUAGACGCAAUUGGAGUUAGAAGUCCAAAUCUGAAGUUGCUACUUCAGAUCUAAGUGUCACACCCCCAAACCAGAACGGCGGAAUCGUUCGGGGGCGGAGGACGUCAUAUUCAGUAUCAUAACAGUUCAUAGAAAGGAAAGUACACACCACCAUAAUAUAAAUAUGUUUGAAAAAGUUUACAUGAUUGUAGGUGUUACAUGUUUGCAAAAGAAAUCAAAUAUAAAAUGGCGAUCCAAAAUAUGUUACUAACGCCAGUGCGUUAGUCUUCAGAAGUAGUUGCUACCUGGCUAGCGGUUUCCUGUGAAUACAAGUUAUUUCAAAGAAAAAGUGUCAACAUUUAAGUUGGUGAGUUCAUAAGUAGUGUUUUGAGAAGAUGUAUGCCAUUCGAAAGUGUUUGCAUGUUUUCCAGAAAAACCCUUAUUUUCUUAUAAAAGUAUGCAAUGCAUAUGAAUGUUCGUGAUGUAAAUUGCAACUAAUUGUACCGAGAAAAAUCCCUUGUUUUCCUAUUAGUUGUUUGGUUUGUAUACAGGAAAAACCCUUAUUUCCCUGACAUAACUGGCAGUCUCUAAGACCGAAAAUCGCAAGCAAGCGACGUGCUUGUAAGUUGUGUCAUAGUUUUACAUAGUAAAGCUAUACGAAGAUCGCACUUUUUAGAUGAAGAAUAGUUUUAAUGACUACUCGUUCAUAAAAGCAUAAUACCAUAAUAAUUGUAUAUCCGAUGAGUUUUAUAACCAUACUAAACAUAAUAUGCCUGUAGCGACGUUCUUCAGGCGUCGUAGCGUUAUGACAACUGUCACCCCAAAAGACGGACUGUAGCUAACAGUCAGGGCGCGGGAUCAUGACUUCCCGUAUAGAUCUAUACACAUUUGACACGUUCUCCGAACGGGAGACUCUGGUUAUAGACAGGACUUGUAGCAUUAUUUUCUAAUAAAGAAAGUAACGUUUGAAGAUAUACACGACUCAUGGAUUCUCAACUAAGUCCGUAAUAAGGUAGUAGUUUGUAUGCAAAGUUUAACCUCUUUCACAAUGUUUGACAAAGCAUAAUCAUAAGUUCUUUGAAUGCAUGAAAUGACUUAGUAAAGAAUGUUACCCUUGAUAUGAUGUGUUUGUAUGUAAACGUAUAAAUAAAACAUAUUUCUAUUUAUAAACAUAUUAUAUCCCAAAGAGGGUAAAGCUGUGUUGUGAGGGGUUUUGUAUCAUAAUAACUUCACAAGAUAGUUAAAACAACAGUAUGAAAAGUAUAUCAAAAGGUUAAUGUUUCACACGAAUUUAGUCAUGUGUUAACUUGUAUUCCUCCCCAAAAAGAGUAUAAAACAUUUAAAAUGUAUUUAAAGAGUGUUCAAAGGGGAUAUGAACUCACUUGAUAGUUUGAAGAUUGUGAGGUGGAAAACCGAGCAGAGUUUCGUCUCGGGAAACUGAUUUUUCUUGGGAUUCUCGGGAAUCUCGGGAGUAGAAUCGGCCUUCGGGACUUGAGCCAAAAAGACCAGAGCUUCGGGUUUGAACGGACACGGAAAACGAGGAAAUGCUGAGAGAGAGAGAAGAGAAAUGAACCCUUUCUUUGGAAACCCUCGCAUUCUAUUUAUAGGAAGGCAAGUCUGCCUCGGUACGCGGGGCGUACGCUCGUACGCGCUGCGUACGCGUACGUCAUGCAUGACCGAAGCCUCGACUGCCUCGGUUCGGAUGGGACGGGUUCUUGGGUUAUCGGGUCGGAUGGGACGGGUUGCUGGGGAGGUGGGUCGGAUGGGACGCCGGGUCGGAUGGGACGUCGGGUCGGACGGGUCGGACGGGUCGGCUUCCUCGGAUAUGGCGACGUGGACGAUCCGAGGCCAAUCCUCUCGGUUACGCGGGGCGUACAGGAGUACGCAGCGCGUACUUCGGAGAAGGACGCUGACUCCUCUUCGGAUAAUAUCCGAAUUUUGAAUUAAAUAAAUAAUUAAUUUAUUUAAUAAACUUCAAAAAUCCAUAUCUUCUUCAUACGAACUCCGUUUUCGAUGGUCUUUAUAUCCACGCGUAGGUGAGACUACGAUCUACAACUUUCGUUUAGACUCCGUUGGCAAAUUCCAAAAUUAUUUUUAUUAUUUAUUUUAUAACUAAUCGUUUUUAAGGAAUUUCUUUGAAAAAUCAUAACUUCCUCAUGCGAAGUCAGAUUUGGACGUUCUUUUUGUGUACGCUCACGGUUUAAUGUUAUCUAUGACUUUCAUUUAGAUACCUAAGGCUAAAUGUUAUCGUAUUGAAACUUUGCGUUUUUCGUUUGAUCGGUGUUGUCGGUUUUGACAGAAAUCUUAGAAUGGUCAUAGCUUCUUCGCCAUAACUCAGAUUUUAGUGUUUCUUUAUUUAUUUGGAACCUUUAAGACGAUAUCUACUACAUAGCGUACUCCAAAUCAGAGCUUUUGAACAAUUCAUUUAUCGAUGAUAUUCCCAUUACAUUCAAAAGGGGUUACAAGACUCGGUUUAUAAUGCCCGGGAUAACGGGUUGUUACAUCAUCCCCCCGUUAAACGGAAUUUCGUCCCGAAAUUUAAUACAAGGUAAGAGUUUUAGGGGCUGAGGAAGAGAUGCGGAUACUUCUGUAGCAUUUGGUCUUCCCGUUCCCAUGUGAAUUCGGGUCCUCUCUUAGCAUUCCAUCGAACUUUUACUAUUGGAAUGCGACUCUGCUUGGUCCUUUUAACUUCCCUAUCCAUGAUCUCGACGGGUUCUUCCACAAAGUUGAGAUUUUCGUUUAACGCGAUUUCAUCGAGUGGAAUUACAAGUGUUUCGUCGGACAAACACUUUUUCAGGUUCGACACGUGGAAUACUGGAUGCACUUUGUUAAGCUCGAUUGGAAGUUGGAGUUUGUAGGCCACUGGACCAACUCUCGAAAUGAUUUCGAAGGGUCCAAUGUACCUGGGAUUUAGCUUUCCACGCUUCCCAAAGCGUAUCAUGCCUUUCCAGGGUGAGACCUUCAGUAGCACACGGUCGCCAAUCUGGAAUUCCAAGGGUUUACGUCUCCUGUCGGCAUAGCUCUUUUGCCUAUCCCUUGAGGACUUCAGUCGUUCUCGUAUUUGCACGAUCUUUUCGGUAGUUUCUCUGAUGAUCUCUGGACCAGUAAGGGUGCUUUUAGUGACUAGACCUUUUGCCAAUUGGGUGUCGCCCACUUCCGUCCAGCACAGGGGUGAUCUGCACUUACGGCCGUAAAGGGCUUCGAACGGAGCGGUCUUGAUACUAGUAUGAUAACUAUUGUUAUAAGAGAACUCGACCAAAGGCAAGUGAAUAUCCCAUGCCUUGCCAAAGUCGAUUACACAUGCUCGCAACAUGUCUUCCAAGGUUUGGAUCGUCCUCUCACUCUGUCCGUCAGUUUGAGGGUGGUAUGCUGUACUCAUGUCCAACCUUGUUCCCAUGGAUUUUUGCAGUGAUUGCCAAAAUCUGGAAGUGAACCUGCUGUCUCUAUCUGAGAUGAUGGACAUUGGUACUCCAUGAAGUCGUACGAUCUCCCGGAUGUAGGUUCUUGAUAGUUUUUCCAUCCUAUCGGUUUCCUUGAUAGGUAAGAAAUGGGCUGACUUGGUUAAUCUGUCGACGAUUACCCAAAUAGUAUCUUGGCCACUCUGAGUUUUGGGCAGUUUGGUUAUGAAGUCCAUGGAAAUCUGCUCCCAUUUCCACUCAGGUAUUUCAGGUUGUUGGAGUAGGCCUGAGGGUUUUUGGUGUUCUAUUUUUAUUUUGGCGCAAGUUAAACACUUGCCCACAUACGUAGCGAUCUCCGCUUUCAUGUUUGGCCACCAGUAGAGUUGCUUGAGAUCUAGAUACAUCUUGUCUGACCCUGGGUGUACGGAGUAUGGGGUCCUGUGUGCCUCGCUCAUAACUACCUCUCUGAAUCCCCCAAACUUUGGUGUCCAGAUCCGGUUCAUGAGGUAGCGUGCUCCGUCACUCUUGAUUUCUAAGUUCUUGUCCAUUCCCCUAAGGGCCUCACCUGCCACGUUUUCGGGUUUCAAGGCCUCUAAUUGAGCUUCCUUGACUUGCGUUGAUAGGUGCGAAUGGAUCGACAUAGCUAAUGACUUCACUCUCCGGCCUGAGUACUCCUUUCGACUAAGGGCAUCGGCUACGACGUUUGCCUUUCCCGGAUGAUAGCGAAUAUCGCAUUCGUAAUCACUGAGUAGCUCGACCCAUCGCCGUUGUCUCAUGUUGAGCUCCUUCUGAUCGAAAAUGUGUUGUAAGCUCUUGUGGUCGGUAAAGAUAGUGCUCUUCGUUCCAUACAAGUAAUGUCUCCAGAUCUUCAGGGCAAACACUACUGCUCCUAGCUCAAGAUCGUGGGUCGUGUAGUUAACCUCAUGUGUUUUCAACUGUCUCGAGGCGUAGGCGAUGACCUUACCUCGCUGCAUCAGAACACAUCCGAGUCCUUGGUUUGAUGCAUCGCAAUAAACUACGAAGUCUUCUAUUCCUUCGGGAAGGGAUAGUAUUGGUGCGGUGCACAAGGCUCGUUUGAGCGUUUGGAACGCUCUUUCUUGUUUCUCUUCCCAGUCAAAGGCCACACCUUUCUGGGUUAGGGUUGUAAGAGGCUUCGCUAUUCGUGAGAAGUUCUGAAUGAACCUGCGGUAGUAGCCAGCGAGACCUAGAAAUUGGCGAAUUUCUGUAGGAGUCUUCGGUGCUGACCAGUUCUCAAUGGCCUUAAUUUUGGAUGGGUCCACGUGGAUUCCCUCUUCGCUUACCACGUGUCCUAAGAAUUCGACUCUUCGGAUCCAAAAUUCACAUUUCGAGAACUUCGCAUAAAGUUUCUCUUUUCGUAAUAUCCCUAGAACUUGUCGCAGAUGAUCGCCAUGUUCUUUCUUACUUCGGGAGUAGAUCAGGAUGUCGUCAAUGAAAACGAUGACGAACUGAUCCAAGUAAGGUCGGCAUACUCUAUUCAUCAGAUCCAUGAAGACUGCGGGCGCAUUGGUCAAUCCGAAUGGCAUCACCACGAACUCGUAAUGUCCGUAACGAGUUCGGAAGGCGGUCUUCGGCACAUCCUCCUCUAGCACUCGUAACUGGUGAUACCCGGAUCUCAGAUCAAUCUUAGAAAAAUAGUUCGCCCCUUGCAGUUGGUCGAAUAGAUCAUCUAUGCGCGGUAGAGGAUAACGAUUCUUGACCGUCAGUUUGUUGAGUUCUCUGUAGUCGAUGCACAUUCUGAACGAUCCAUCUUUCUUUUUCACAAACAACACGGGUGCUCCCCAUGGUGAGAAGCUCGGUCUGAUGAAUCCUUUUCCCAGUAGUUCAUUCAGUUGACUGGAUAGCUCCUGCAUCUCUGCCGGGGCUAAUCGAUAGGGUGCUUUGGCUACUGGGGUAGCUCCGGGAAUCAGAUCGAUUCUGAAUUCGACUUGUCUUACGGGUGGUAUCCCUGGAAGGUCCUCGGGAAACACAUCGGGAAAAUCGCAUACGUCGGGCACAUCCUUGAUGUCCCGGACUUCGCGUUUCACGUCUACAACAUGUGCAAGAAAUGCGUGACACUCCUUUCGUAAGUGCUUCUGAGCUUGGAUACUUGAGAUGAUUCUAAGAGUGGUACUAGGUUUGUCGCCCAAGACAAGGAAGGUUUCGCCGGUUGGCAGAUUAAGGCGAACGGCCUUAUCGUAACAUAGAAUGUCCGCACGAUGUGAACUCAGCCAAUCCAUGCCAAUGAUGACAUCGAAACUCUUAAUCGAGACUGGCAUGAGGUUGAUUUGAAAGGGAUUAUCGUUUAGAGUUAGGGUGCAGUUUAAGUAUAUCUCUUUAGUGCCUUCAGUUUUCCCGUUGGCCAUUUCUACUAUGAACGGUUCACUUAAUGAUUGUGGUAUUGGUUUUAGCAUGCUUUUAAAGUCGUGACUCACAAAACUCCUUUCCGCUCCACUAUCAAACAAAAUGCAUGCAUACGAGUUAUCGAGAAGAAACGUACCCGUAACAACAGUAGGGUCCGCAAUGGCUUCAUCUUGUCCCAUUGCGAAAACUCGGCCUCUUCCGCCGGUAUUCCUGUUGUUUGCCUUCGGGCAGUCCUUGCGGUAGUGCCCUGUGCUCCCGCACUCAAAGCAAGCGCGGCUUACUCCGGUAUUAGCAGUGGGGGCGGAUUGUUGGGUUGGCUCCUUGCAAUAGCGGGCUGUAUGACCCUUCUUAUUGCACCUGGUGCAUUGAAGGCCAUGACAGAGACCGUGAUGGUGGAAGUUGCACUGGUUACAUUUCGGUAGCUUUCCAUUGUAUGAACUUGUGGGGGCAGAGUUGGUAGGUACAGUAAUAGCGUGGGUCGCUAUCACUUGUUGUUUCUUGGGGUUCUCCUGGAGGAUUUGUCCCCUCCUCUUGUUCCAAGGCCUACUCUGUCCCUGAGCCUCCCUAGGUGGAUUUGCGGCUGUUGUGAUGGUACUCUGUUUCGCUCCGUGAUCGAUGAGUCGUUGCGCCAGGCGUUUAGCGCUGUUGUAGGUGAUAGGGUUGGAGGCUAGGACAUGCCCUUGAAUCUGGGGUGACAACCCCCAAAUGUACCUUUCGACCUUCUUUGAUUCUGGGUUGACCAUGGUAGGGCACAAAGCAGCGAGAUCGUUGAACCUAGCUGUGUAAGCGACUAGGUCAGACCCGACCAUUUUCAAAUUCCAGAGUUCCUGCUCAAGCUUUUGCACUUCACCCCUUGGGCAGUAUUCUUCCAGUAGUAGUACCUUCAGUUCUUCCCAACUCAUGGCGUUAGCGACAGUGAGCGUCACUGAGUUCACAUGGCUUUUCCACCAAGUGAGGGCUCGAUCUAUGAAGGUGCAAGCAGCGAACUUAACCUUGCUUGUUUCUUGGCACGAGCAGAUCUCGAAGACCGUUUCGGUCUUUUCGAACCAUUGCAUUAGUGCAAUGACUCCUCCUGUUCCAUUAAAAGUUUUUGGUUUAGCGUUAGAGAACUCCUUGUAGGUACAUUCUCUUCCUUGGCCAUGACCAGUGCCAUGAUUUGGAUGAUUCGUGCUGCUUCCCGCCCCUCCAUUCCCUUGAGAGUUUAUUUGCGAGAGGGCUGCGGUUACCGCUGCUGUGAUAGCAGCCUGAACCAUGGCCGGAUCAUAAGCUGGUGGUGGAGGUGGUGGUGGUGCCGUGCCCGGCCUGGGCCUUAAGUUUGGACGAGGAGGCAUCUUGCUGCCAAAAGAAAAAUAUGGAAGAAAAUUAUAAGUUUUGGCAGUUCAAAGUUGAAUGAUAUUGAGUUAACUGCCUUAAAUAGAUUAAGAAUUUGGUUUGAUCAACAAUGGGUUUUGAGCUUGAUUUAUUAAUAACGUUUGAAUGGAUGCACUUAUGAGUUGAACGGAAUACACAUAUUUAAAAUCAGAGAAGGGGGGGAUGCCCCAUAUAUAUAAAACAUAUAGUCGUGUUACAUCCGAGUUUAGACAAAACUUUUUGACCUUUCUAAAGGUCUCCGAUUACAGAAAGUUUUAACGAAAAGGAAAUUCUUAUCCGAAGUCCUAAUUUAUAACAAAAUUUGAAAUCCUGGCAGGCACUACUUGCGACGUAGGUUGCGCUUGGAGCUUGACUCCGCAUCUGAUUGCUUCGAUUCCAUUAGGCGUCGAUCAAAAGCGGCUUGUUGCUCCCUUAACUCGGCUAGGGCUGCAAUUAUCUGUGCCUGAAAUGCCUCAGACUGGAGUUGGACAUUAUCUUGUAUCUUGUCCAGUCUACGGAUAUCGGAAGUGUGAACCUGCACUUCCACGUUGAUAUCCCGGAGUCGGCUUGCUUGUACUCCGGACUGAUAGGACUGAUUGGCUAACUUACCAACCAUUACCGGGAGUGCUCGAUCAGCCGAACUGCCACCGCGGACAUCGUAGAAGUCCCGACACAUGCCGUAGGGAGGGCGUAUGCCUUGUUGUUGGCUCCAAUGAUGUAGGUGACUUCCCCAGACGGGAGUGGGUCCUUGGAAGUUCCUCACAUGGACAGGAGGUUGAAUGGGUGGUGGAUCGAUCACUUCAGGUUCUGAGUCAGUACCGGAGUCAUCACCCAAUUCUAUGGGUUCCUCAUCCUCUUCUGGAUCAUCUUCGAUCCAUCCUCCGUUGCCUUGGUUGGGAAAGUAGGGGUCAUUGGGGUGGUGAAAUCCAGCCAUUUGACUGUACGAGAAAUAGGGUCAUAAGAAUUGAAUAAAGUCGGAACAUGCAAAACAUGUAAGUUAGUUUAAAUAGCAAUUACUCCUAUAGCAUUUAAAUUAUUGUGUUUGAUUCUAAUAACGGUUUGGUAAGUUUUUAAAAUUUGUUGUCCACUGCAGACACCCCUCGGCACACGUUAGUCGGCUCUCGGACAAAUAUAGUUGAUCAGGCUAUAUCCUUCCCAGUUCCGAUUACAUGUCCCAAGGCGUACCUGUACUGCACAACUCAUUAAUAAUACUUCUAAUAUGGUACGAUGUGGAACUGUUAUUUAUUACUAAAUGAAUGCAUGCUUACUUACAAAAACUAAAUAGAUUUAAUUUCAAAAGCAUGACUCUUCUCAGAGUGUUUUUGCCCAGUUGAGUUUAUAGUUGUAUAAAAAAAAAGGUUUUGAUAUACUUAAUUCACUAUAAACGAAGCUCUGAUACCAAUCUGUCACACCCCCAAACCAGAACGGCGGAAUCGUUCGGGGGCGGAGGACGUCAUAUUCAGUAUCAUAACAGUUCAUAGAAAGGAAAGUACACACCACCAUAAUAUAAAUAUGUUUGAAAAGUUUACAUGAUUGUAGGUGUUACAUGUUUGCAAAAGAAAUCAAAUAUAAAAUGGUGAUCCAAAAUAUGUUACUAACGCCAAUGCGUUAGUCUUCAGAAGUAGUUGCUACCUGGCUAGCGGUUUCCUGUGAAUACAAGUUAUUUCAAAGAAAAAGUGUCAACAUUUAAGUUGGUGAGUUCAUAAGUAGUGUUUUGAGAAGAUGUAUGCCAUUCGAAAGUGUUUGCAUGUUUUCCAGAAAAACCCUUAUUUUCUUAUAAAAGUAUGCAAUGCAUAUGAAUGUUCGUGAUGUAAAUUGCAACUAAUUGUACCGAGAAAAUCCCUUAUUUUCCUAUUAGUUGUUUGGUUUGUAUACAGGAAAAACCCUUAUUUCCCUGACAUAACUGGCAGUCUCUAAGACCGAAAAUCGCAAGCAAGCGACGUGCUUGUAAGUUGUGUCAUAGUUUUACAUAGUAAAGCUAUACGAAGAUCGCACUUAUUAGAUGAAGAAUAGUUUUAAUGACUACUCGUUCAUAAAAGCAUAAUACCAUAAUAAUUGUAUAUCCGAUGAGUUUUAUAACCAUACUAAACAUAAUAUGCCUGUAGCGACGUUCUUCAGGCGUCGUAGCGUUAUGACAACUGUCACCCCAAAAGACGGACUGUAGCUAACAGUCAGGGCGCGGGAUCAUGACUUCCCGUAUAGAUCUAUACACAUUUGACACGUUCUCCGAACGGGAGACUCUGGUUAUAGACAGGACUUGUAGCAUUAUUUUCUAAUAAAGAAAGUAACGUUUGAAGAUAUACACGACUCAUGGAUUCUCAACUAAGUCCGUAAUAAGGUAGUAGUUUGUAUGCAAAGUUUAACCUCUUUCACAAUGUUUGACAAAGCAUAAUCAUAAGUUCUUUGAAUGCAUGAAAUGACUUAGUAAAGAAUGUUACCCUUGAUAUGAUGUGUUUGUAUGUAAACGUAUAAAUAAAACAUAUUUCUAUUUAUAAACAUAUUAUAUCCCAAAGAGGGUAAAGCUGUGUUGUGAGGGGUUUUGUAUCAUAAUAACUUCACAAGAUAGUUAAAACAACAGUAUGAAAAGUAUAUCAAAAGGUUAA